UAAGGAAUAUUGGUCAAUGGACGCAAGUCUGAACCAGCCAUGCCGCGUGAAGGAUGAAGGUCCUCUGGAUUGUAAACUUCUUUUAUCUGGGACGAAAACGGGAUUUUUAUCUCAAUUGACGGUACCAGAGGAAUAAGCACCGGCUAACUCCGUGCCAGCAGCCGCGGUAAUACGGAGGGUGCGAGCGUUGUCCGGAUUUACUGGGCGUAAAGGAUGCGUAGGCGGAUACUUAAGUCAGAUGUGAAAAUCCCGGGCUUAACUUGGGAACUGCAUUUGAAACUGGGUAUCUAGAGUGCGGGAGAGGACAGUGGAAUUCCUAGUGUAGCGGUGAAAUGCGUAGAGAUUAGGAAGAACACCAGUGGCGAAGGCGACUUUCUGGACCGUAACGGACGCUGAGGC
rnacentral:rRNA from 1 species